rnacentral:rRNA from 1 species
GAGUUGCCAUUAGGCGACGAAGUGGUUGAUACCAUGCUUCCAAGAAAAGCUCCUAAGCUUCAGAUAACUGGGAACCGUACCCCAAACCGACACAGGUGGUUAGGUAGAGAAUACCAAGGCGCUUGAGAGAACUCGGGUGAAGGAACUAGGCAAAAUGGCACCGUAACUUCGGGAGAAGGUGCGCCGGUGAGGGUGAACGAUUUACUCGGUAAGCCCAUGCCGGUCGAAGAUACCAGGCCGCUGCGACUGUUUAUUAAAAACACAGCACUCUGCAAACACGAAAGUGGACGUAUAGGGUGUGAUGCCUGCCCGGUGCUGGAAGGUUAAUUGAUGGGGUUAGCGUAAGCGAAGCUCUUGAUCGAAGCC